rnacentral:rRNA from 1 species
UACGUAGGGUGCGAGCGUUGUCCGGAAUUACUGGGCGUAAAGAGUUCGUAGGCGGUUUGUCGCGUCUGCUGUGAAAACUCGGGGCUUAACCCUGAGCCUGCAGUGGGUACGGGCAGACUAGAGUGUGGUAGGGGAGAUCGGAAUUCCUGGUGUAGCGGUGGAAUGCGCAGAUAUCAGGAGGAACACCGGUGGCGAAGGCGGAUCUCUGGGCCAUAACUGACGCUGAGGAGCGAAAGCAUGGGGAGCGAACAGG